GCUGUCCUCUCUCUGCAGAGAGUCAUCCAGGCCCAGGGUGAGUACUGGCGGUCGUUGAGGGUGGUGGCCCACACAGUGGAUCAGUCAUACAUGCAGGCCCAAGGACACAGUCUGAGACGUGGCUCAGAGGACCACAAUGACACCGUCUCUGCCCUGGCCUCUCUCUCCAUGGCCAGCCUCACCACAAACAGGACACAACCAGAUGAACUUAUGGAGGGGGACAGAGACUCCAUGUAGACAAGUGCACUUUCCGACAAACCUUACACACACACACACACAUACACACACACACACACACACACACUGUGAUCCACUCAGUCCUGCUUUACUUGACCAGAAUCCACUGUCUCCAGUUGACACUGUACAGACCAUAUCCUGCCCACUAUAG
ensembl:lncRNA